AUUGAACGCUGGCGGCAGGCCUAACACAUGCAAGUCGAACGGUAACAGGGAUCAGCUUGCUGAUUCGCUGACGAGUGGCGGACGGGUGAGUAAUGUCUGGGAAACUGCCUGAUGGAGGGGGAUAACUACUGGAAACGGUAGCUAAUACCGCAUAACGUCGCAAGACCAAAGAGGGGGACCUUCGGGCCUCUUGCCAUCGGAUGUGCCCAGAUGGGAUUAGCUAGUAGGUGGGGUAACGGCUCACCUAGGCGACGAUCCCUAGCUGGUCUGAGAGGAUGACCAGCCACACUGGAACUGAGACACGGUCCAGACUCCUACGGGAGGCAGCAGUGGGGAAUAUUGCACAAUGGGCGCUAGCCUGAUGCAGCCAUGCCGCGUGUAUGAAGAAGGCCUUCGGGUUGUAAAGUACUUUCAGCGGGGAGGAAGGGAGUAAAGUUAAUACCUUUGCUCAUUGACGUUACCCGCAGAAGAAGCACCGGCUAACUCCGUG
rnacentral:rRNA from 1 species